GGGGUCCUACGGGGGGCAGCAGUGGGGAAUAUUGGGCAAUGGGCGCAAGCCUGACCCAGCAACGCCGCGUGAAGGAAGAAGGCUUUCGGGUUGUAAACUUCUUUUCUCAGGGACGAAGAAAGUGACGGUACCUGAGGAAUAAGCCACGGCUAACUACGUGCCAGCAGCCGCGGUAAUACGUAGGUGGCAAGCGUUAUCCGGAUUUAUUGGGUUUAAAGGGUGCGUAGGCGGAAUGCCAAGUCAGCGGUAAAAUCGCGGGGCUCAACCUCGCUCCGCCGUUGAAACUGGCGUUCUUGAGUGGGCGG
rnacentral:rRNA from 1 species